AUUUUAAUAAUCGGUGCCGGGAGGCUUGUAGGCAAUGAAACUGAUGCACUGGACUUGGCGAACAUUGUCGAAGCCAAUGAUCCUAGCGAAGCCAUCUGGGUGAGCUUUGAUAAGCUCAUCAAGCUCCUUCAACACCUGCGAUGAAUCUGUGCACCCAAACAUUGGCAGCUUCCACAUUGUCCAGUAACGUCCAUCGUAGUACCCUGGUAAGCUACCGUGCGCA
rnacentral:lncRNA from 1 species